UUCACCUUUGGGAGUGGUCGUGUGAGAGUGACUCGAUAGAUGAAGGGACAUUAAGAUAAUGCGGUGUUACAGUGAUUUGGAGGUUAAAGUGCUUGCUGAACAGGGACAGGUUGUUAUAAUUAAUGACGAUAAAGUGUACGAUGUAACUGAUUUCGUCGAAAGACACCCCGGUGGGAAACAUUACCUGCUCGAUCAUGUGGGUGAGGAUGUGACGAAUCUCAUGUCGGGGGAGUCGCCCCACCAACAUACACCGGCCGCUAUGACCAUUCUCAAGAAAUACUGUAUCGGACAGUACAAACAUUACCAGGGCAAAAAUGGCUUGAAACAUCGGGAAAUAAAUGGCAAUGUAAAAAAUGGAAUUGUUAAAAAUGAAAACCUGAGCAAGGAUGAGCAUCAAUUAACCACAGACUAUUCUGAUGAAAUGGAGAAGUUGGUGGACUGGGACAAGCCCAUGAUAGCUCAAGUCGCCGACCUGGGUGACCGGUAUUUUGAGUGGGUCCAUUACCCUGAGGACAAGCACCUCCGCCUUUUCAAAUCAGACUUCGUCGAGUAUUUUUCUAUGUGUCCGUGGUAUGUGGUGCCCAUUUACUGGGUGCCCGUGUUGUUUUUAUUCCUCAUCAAGUCCUACCACCUCCUGUCCGAGGCCCCGUGUAUAUUCCCAGACUCUCAAUAUGGUAUAGAAGUAACACCGAGGUACAUGCCUCUCAUAUUUAUGCUGGGAUUGAUCAGUUGGACGUUGGACGAGUAUGUUAUUCAUCGGUGGAUGUUCCAUCUCCGUCCGCCCAGCGAUUCCCGUCUGUUAGUCACGAUACAUUUCCUGCUGCAUGGCCAGCACCAUAAGACCCCUCUAGACAAGAAGCGUCUGGUGUUUCCUCCGGUGCCAGCCACUGUGCUGGGAAUCACGCUGUACUCCAUCUAUGCAACAGUAGUGCCACAUGCCAUCACGUUGUCAUUUGCGGCGGGCACGGUGACGGGCUACAUCGUGUAUGACCUGACACACUACUUCCUUCAUCAUGGGCGACCAACAAUGCCUUACUUCAAAUCACUCAAGAAAUACCAUGUAAAACAUCAUUUUGAAAAUCAACAGCUAGGAUUUGGAAUAUCAUCUAAGUUAUGGGAUUAUCCGUUUGGCACCUUAAUUCCGGAUUGUUAAGAUGAUGCAUGUGUACUUAGGCGCCUUCAGCCCUAGAGUUACCUCCCCAUGGUUGGGUUAUGAUGAUACUGUAGGAGCCACGGUCAAUCCUGGAGUCGCUGCCCCUCCCAGGGGGGCUAGACAGUCUGGAUGGUCGGACUAAACAUUCUGCUGAUACAGAUCAAUCAAUGUGCCGCAUCACUCUCACAGGAUGUAGCUAUUUCCUCUGACGUGCCUACCACACUUCCGCCUAGGGAAGAUGUUUUGUUGUUGGUAAAGGUGGGAGAACUGUCGGUAAUAACUCUUUAUCUUACACUAAGCAGAAUGAUCUUGUGGAGGGGAAAUGCCACUAUAUUGCUUCAAAGAGCUUAAUACUUACCAUAAGGAGUGUUUUCUGAUGCUAGUAUUCAAACAGAAUUCAGUAAAAAUGAAAUGAUACUUCAUGUUGAUAAAUGGCAGAAGUUUUUUGGUUUUAGAUGUAAAUAGUGUAUAUUUUCUAUCUAUAUGUGGGAUUUACAUGUGCUACACAACAAUUAAUGUUCAUAGGUUGUAAGCGUAUUCUCUGUUCGUAUAGAGGAUUUAAAAUUGCUGUACACUACAAAAUUCACUUUCGGCCCCUUUUGGGCCUAGAAACAAUAUUUUUAUCAAGUAUUUUGGAAUGGACUGUAUUUUCUUGUUACGCAAGCUAACAGAUGUAACUGUACAACAUUACAUACUAAUUAUAACUCAAUUAUUUAUCACAACAUCUCAGGCAAGGCUGUUAACCCUCUAAUGGAAAGCAAGAUUGAAUGAAAUCACUAUUGAUACAGUUUUGACAUACUGAAUUUGCUUACCUAUUGUCCAAAAGAUGCUAGCUUUAAUAUGCCAUAUAAAUAUCUCAUGUUUUAUCAAAGUUGAACAUCCAGCUACUUCCAAAGAGUUGUUACUGUAAUUCAGUAUACAACAAGUUUACCCUAUGAAGGUUUGAGCAAGACUAAAACGAUUAACAUUUAGAUGAAUGAAUUUCGCUGUAUACUAUAAACAUACAUGUAUUAGUGUGUAGUGUUAAUAGAACAUUAACUGGUGGUUUCUAAAGAAAUCAUUUCAAAUGAGUUUCACUGUUUAUGAUUUCUAUAAAACAACCUUUAGCAAUAUCAAAGUUUUACUUCAUAAACAAACAAUAUUAAUGUACAUAUUUAACAUCUCGUACAUUUCAAGACUGA
rnacentral:misc_RNA from 1 species